AGGAGGAGAAAGGGGGAGAGAAAAGAAGGAGGGAUUUGAGAAAGGGGGAGAGAGAGAAAUGAAGAGGGAAUUCAGAAAAAAGAAAAGAAAAAAAAGAAUGAAGAUGGGGGAGAAGGAAGAUUAAAUGUUUAGGAAACAAGGGUGAGGGAAAGAGAGAGAUUCGCAGCUGUGAGAAACCGAAAAAGGAGAAGAGCAAGUAUUAUCAAGAAGUUUGGGAGAAGAAUUUCGAGUUGGGGUGUUGUUGAUGUCUUGCGUUUUUGAGAGAGAGAGUUGGAGAGUCUGAGGGCUUUUGUCAUAGACUGUAACCUGGGUACUUCCGGUUUUGAGGGAAGUAAAGCUAGAGGGUUUCGAUUAUUAUUCAGAAGUGAAGGGCUUCCUUUUGGGUUGUCUACUGUCUUGAUUGUUUUGCCUUACUGUCAUAUUAGAUUUCUAUUGAGAAGAGUUUGGGCCGAGUGUAGUCGAGAGCAGGAUUUCUUUAUCAAUUUCUUUUGUAAAAACAAAACCAUAUUGAUUUGGAUUGUAAGUACUAUUUGGAGUACUUUUUUUGUGAUUUGACCGGAAAUCUUGUUAUAGUAAAUUUCUUACUUGCUUUGGUUUAAA